GGCGGCGUAGCUCAGUUGGCUAGAGCAUUCGGUUCAUACCCGAAGUGUCAGCGGUUCAAAUCCGUUCGCCGCCACCA
rnacentral:tRNA from 1 species